rnacentral:rRNA from 1 species
AUUGAACGCUGGCGGCAUGCUUUACACAUGCAAGUCGAACGGUAACAGGCCGCAAGGUGCUGACGAGUGGCGAACGGGUGAGUAAUGCAUCGGAACGUGCCCAGUCGUGGGGGAUAACUGCUCGAAAGAGCAGCUAAUACCGCAUACGAUCUCUGGAUGAAAGCGGGGGACCGUAAGGCCGCGCGCGAUUGGAGCGGCCGAUGUCCGAUUAGGUAGUUGGUGGGGUAAAGGCUCACCAAGACAACGGUCUGUAGCUGGUCUGAGAGGACGACCAGCCACACUGGGACUGAGACACGGCCCAGACUCCUACGGGAGGCAGCAGUGGGGAAUUUUGGACAAUGGGGGCAACCCUGAUCCAGCAAUGCCGCGUGCAGGAAGAAGGCCUUCGGGUUGUAAACUGCUUUUGUACGGAACGAAACGGUCUGGGUUAAUACCCUGGGCUAAUGACGGUACCGUAAGAAUAAGCACCGGCUAACUACGUGCCAGCAGCCGCCGUAACAC